rnacentral:tRNA from 1 species
AGGUGAUUAGCUCAAUUUGGGAGAGCACCUCCCUUACAAGGAGGGGGUAGGCGGUUCAAAUCCGCCAUCACCUA